rnacentral:lncRNA from 1 species
UGAUCUCAAACUUGUUUGGAGUUUCGGAUUCUUGGUGCAUUCUGGGAAGAAAGUGCCUAGGGUCAGCGCAACGUAACAAAGGGAACAGCCUCAAAAAAGUGGGCUUCAGAUACCAGCAAUUGCUUAGGGCACACAUAGUUCCUUUUGGCGUCUUAUCUUCUGAAGCUGCCUCAAGGCCAAGCAAAGAAAGUUGUUAAAAAGUUAAGUUACUUUUCACAGCCUGCAAACCCUUCAAAGGUCCACCAAGUGAAGAUUGGAGGAUGUAUUUGUUUCUUCUACUCAACAACAAUUGAUAAAGCAUGAGUUCCAUCAAGGACUGUGUUCUAGGUGGAGAAAGGGUGACUCACCCAGUCAUUGGAUCUCUUUCACUUCCAGUCUCUGGAAGGCAGAUAUCUUUAUAAAAUAUGCAGACAGCUAGGCUCUAAACACUGGACAAGAGGUCUGUAAUCAUCCAGUCACAUCUCAGGUCAGAGGGUCUUGGACUGCUUAAGAAAGAGCUGACCAUUGUCUUAAGAACCUGGGGUGGCCUAGAGCCAUCUUGAGGUGAUUUUAUCAGCCCCAUCAGGAUAAUUCUCCUCAGCUUCCUUGCAUGAAUAGUGUAACUGGUGCUACUACUUUUGUUUUUAGUCACUUUUCCUAGCCUGCACUUCCCUUCCCGGCCCUCCUUUUUCCUCUGUAGCCAAGUCAUCACUUCUCUUUACCUAAAUGAGUUUUGGAAUCCAGGGGAUAAAACGAAAAGAUAGGCAGGGCGCUGUGGCUCACACCUGUAAUCCCACCACUUUGGGAGGCCGAGGUGGGUGGAUCACCUGAGGUCAGGAGUUUGAGACCAGCCUGACCAAUAUGGUGAAACCCCAUCUCUACUAAAAAUACAAAAAUUAGCCGGGCGUGGUGGCGUGUGACUGUAGUCCCAGCUACUUGGGAGGCUGAGACAGGAGGGUUGCUUGAACCUGGGAGACAGAGGUUGCAGAAAGCUGAGAUCGUGCCAUUGCACUCCAGCCUGGGUGACAGAGCAAGACUCUGUCUCAAAAACAAAAACAAAAAAACGGAAAGAUAAUUCCUUGAGCACAAGCUUCACUCUCCUUAUUCUCAACAUCUGUGUCUGUAUUAUUCUUUACAGUUUAUGAAACACUUAUUUAAUCUCACUUAAUGCCCAAACUAGUGAUGUUAGUUAUUUUUUUUAAAAAGUCAAGAUCACUUAACACAUCCAAAUAUAACAAAGUUAAAAGGCAUAAAACUGGGUACCCAACAUAAAUUAUCUGAUUAUAAAUCAAGUGGUCUCUGGGAAAUCUUGUCAUUUCAGAAGGUCAGAUGGAUGUGGAGGGCAGAAACUAACCUCAGAUUAUGCCAGGGACGCCAGGGCCUCCUGAACACUGUGGGGGGUUGUGCUCUGAAAUCUACCUCCAGUUUUACAAGAAGCUCUCUUCCAAUCUGUCUGCGCUUUUUUUUUUUUUUUUUUUUUUGCU